rnacentral:rRNA from 1 species
UACAGAGGGGGCAAGCGUUGUUCGGAAUUACUGGGCGUAAAGGGCGCGUAGGCGGCCCGCUAAGUCGAACGUGAAAUCCCCGAGCUCAACUCGGGAACUGCGUCCGAUACUGGUGGGCUUGAAUCCGGGAGAGGGAUGCGGAAUUCCAGGUGUAGCGGUGAAAUGCGUAGAUAUCUGGAGGAACACCGGGUGGCGAAGGCGGCAUCCUGGACCGGCAUUGACGCUGAGGCGCGAAAGCUAGGGGAGCAAACGGGAUUAGAAAACCC